GUGAGGAAUAUUGGACAAUGGGCGUAAGCCUGAUCCAGCCAUGCCGCGUGCAGGAAGACGCAUCUAUGGUGUGUAAACUGCUUUUGUACGGGAAGAAACACUCCCUCGUGAGGGAGCUUGACGGUACCGUAAGAAUAAGGAUCGGCUAACUCCGUGCCAGCAGCCGCGGUAAUACGGAGGAUCCAAGCGUUAUCCGGAAUCAUUGGGUUUAAAGGGUCCGUAGGCGGUUUAAUAAGUCAGUGGUGAAAGCCCAUCGCUCAACGAUGGAACGGCCAUUGAUACUGUUAGACUUGAAUUACAAGGAAGUAACUAGAAUAUGUAGUGUAGCGGUGAAAUGCUUAGAUAUUACAUGGAAUACCAAUUGCGAAGGCAGGUUACUACUUGUGGAUUGACGCUGAUGGACGAAAGCGUGGGGAGCGAACAGGAUUAGAUACCCGGGUAGUCC
rnacentral:rRNA from 1 species